UCUAAGAAGAAUUCAGAACAAUGAGAAAAGCCACCUACACCUGGCCAUCAAUAGACAAAGAGUGUGAGCUGCCUGAGAACUUAUAUAAGGAAGAACAAAAGUUUUUUUCAGUGCCUUGGAUAUGUUUUUAGAUUAAUCUGAAAUAAACCUGUUAAGGUCGUUCUUUUGUAUAUACAAUGGACUGGUAGUCACUCUAAUCUCAGGCAAGAAAGAAAUGUACUUCAAAGCUCAUGUAAUGCUCAGAGAAGCUUCCACUUCCAGGGCUUUAUUCAGACUGAUCGUACUUUGCUUGCCUUUCUGUGUUCUGAUAUUUUAUGAACAGAUGGAAUGUUCUGCAAAUUGGGAUGUGCACAUAUAUGUGGUUGUUGAAAGAGAAAAUGUUACUUAGACUAACAGGAGUUCUUAGGUACACCAUCUUUAUUCAUGUGGUGUAACUAAUCUAGCAUCAACCUGUGCCUUAGAGUUUUGUGUGACUCUAUCUUGAGUCAGUGGGAAAUUGGGAUGUGGUUUUUGUGAGUGUCUCUGAGCCUUUCCUUUCAAAUGCAAAGAUUUGGGAUGCACAUGCAGAGAAAAGUGCUUCUCCCAUAGGAUUCACAAGUAUAAGCUGUGGAAUGUGCAUAUGAAAAAUAAAUCUUGAAAAGUUCUCAUUCGUGUAAGGAAUUCUAUUGGAUGUAGGAGUCGCGUAGCACUAAGCACAUUAUUGUGGAAAUGGUGAACAACAACAUGCAAAAGGCUUUUAAAAUGUCAGGAGAGCACGGAUGCAAUAACAAUUGCACUAGUUGGCUGCUGACAACGCUCGUUAGAGAUCUGGAUAACCACAAACAGGGAUGGAGCACUCAUUCACUCAGAAUAAAGAGAACUGCAAGGAUGGAUCAGAGAGAGCAGGUUGCUUAUGGAAGUGGAACCCCUUCAGAAGCCAAGGUUUAUGUGAUGGAGAGACGCUGGGGUAUUGGAGAGGAGAAAGCUGUAGAUCUCCCAUUAGCACUACCAAAUUCAGUGCACAUCUUCAAGAUUUUACAGCCCAUCUGAUUUCACUGCUGCUGCUAGUGGUUAAGAUCGAAUGUAAAGGCGGAUCUUUAAAAAAAUGCAAUCUUUUCAAGAGGGUCACAGUUAGCAGAGUUGUCUGAAAUGUAGUAGAGGUGAACAGGAAAUGUGUAACAUUACUUAUUUGCCAUAGGGAUAUUACUCACAUACAUGUAACAUUCAAUAAUUUCUGAAUGAGAAUGAGAUGAAUGAGAUAAAGAGGGGGAUUCAUUAACAGGAAAGCCAGAAUACAAGACUUUAAAACUCAAAGGCAGGAAAAUAUGACUUGGAAAAAGAAGAGGUUGGGGCUGCCUCAAGGGUUGUCUUCCUUUUGAGGAAUCAGGCCUGAAGCAAGGGCAAUAUCACCUGAGAGGAGAACAGUCUACUGCUGCUGGUACUGGUAUCCCAACACCAGAGAUCACCUGUUCAUAAUGUGUGAUACAGCCAGAAAGAUGACCUUAUAAAAAGGUAUUCAAAAAACAUGAUGCAGUACAGCUUAUAAGUUGAGUAUCAGGUCAUCCAUGCCAUGGACAGUGGAAAUCAAAAAGACACCUUCAGUUCUUCCAAGAAAGGACUUAACAGGGAAGGUUUCUCUAUUGACUAGAGACGGAACCUAGGAGCCUAAGUUAGAUACCUCAGAUGAGGUCUGAUAUUUAAUACUGGCCUGGAUCUCAGAGGUUGGCAUGGUAAGGAGGGGGGAAAGCAGAGCUAACAGAGGAUAAGGAACUAGCUCUCAAGCAGGAGGUAGGGGAGAGGGAUGUGAGAGACUAAUAGCAGUCAUUUACAGUGAGGUAAAAAUGAGUUAAAAGGAAAUUAUAGCCUCUGUUAUCUGUGGAAAGGACUAAUAAUUACUAGGUGAGUUUAAUUCAUAGAGUUGUGACUGUAUUAGGCUAUAUCUCCACAUCCUCUUGCUUCUCAUGCGUGUCAGGGACAAAAGGCCUAUAAUAUUUCUCUAGUUUGAUCUCUGAUACAAUAUAGAUCAAAGAACCUUGCUCUGAUUCCUGCAUUGCACCUAUAAUUUUGGAUUGAACUAUGACAUAUCUUGGUUAUAGAUAGAAUAGCUGCUUAAUGGUCCAUCAGAAAGUAAUGAAAAAUCACAGCUUAUGGCCUCAACUCAUCUAUGUAAGAGAAAGACUUUUCUAGUGCCAAGAAUGCUCUGAUUUUUAGUUCUCAAACUAGUUCAGUAAAAUUUAAACAUCACACUUCUGGUAAAAACUCUCUCAAAACUGCAUUUCAGUAACUGAAAAUUCUGAAAACAGUCUAAGUAAUCUUUUAUUGCUAUGUUCAAUGUGUAUAUCAUUGUAUUUUUCACCUGAAACUGGGCUCAAAUACAUUUUUUUAUUGAGUCAGCCUACAGCACAAGGUUAGGAGUAAACAUGUACAUUAUUUUAUUAUAAAUUUUCUGUUACCUGCACAUAAUGCUUUUACAAUAGCCAAACUGUGCCGAACGUUCAGAUCAGCGCUUCAGAGCAUUUAUGUCCUAAAAGCAAAACAGGCUCAAUACAUGAACACAAAUCAACAACUGGCAAUAGCAUAGCAUAUAACACACUUGCAAACUGCCUUAUAAAUACAAAAAAUGAAGUGCAAAGUAGAGAAGAAUGUUUGCCUUUAAGCUACUCCUUUCUAACUUGUAAAUAUAAUCUCAGGUUUCUUCAUAAGCAGACUUGUAUUAUUCUGUAUUUCCAUUAGUUAUUCAGAGAAUUUCAUCUGACUGCCCUGUACUGAAGGACCUCUUUUUAUCUUCAUAGAACCAGAAUAAUGAGACCAUAAAAGUGAUGGAAUCUGCACUUCUUUCUUCCUAUUUGUGAGUUUCACUUCAUUUCAUUCUCUUUCCUUUAAGCAAAAGAAGGCAGCAUUGCUAUCCUGAGAUUUUUUCCUUGAUUAGGAAUACACAUACAUGGAAAAUCCAAUCAUGGAAAAAACAUUUUAAAUUGUAAAUAGGUAUAGAAAUCAAUACUGUUAAUUCACCACUCAAUUUUAAGACUUUUUUUCUUUCCUCUCCACCCAUUAUUUCCAGUUACUCAGUGUGUGGAGAUUCAGUUGAAAUGAAGACAUGGUGAAGCUAGAUAGUUUACUUAAAUGUAUACAGGCAUUUUGUGGAGUAAUAUAUACUAUAUUCUUCUGACUUCUUGUCCUUCCUAGGGUUCUUUUACUCAAGUGCUAUAAUGUAUCAAGUAAAUCAUUGCUUGACAUUGCUGGGUGAUUUGAAAAAUGAAGUUUACAUGUGAACAGUGGAACCUGAGCAGGCUGGGCUCAUAGUUAAAUGAGGAAAAAGUACUCCAAUUUUUUUCCGGUUGUUUAGUUUGGAAGCAGUCUAGGGCACUAAUAUAACCUCCCCAAGAUAAUGUGAUCAGCUAAAUCAAAGGCUUUUGCAGGCUUUAAAAAAACUGAGGCCAAUCAGAUGGCAAUUAUCCACUGCUAUUCAGCAUUUACGUAGAACCUGAUUCUGAUAGUAGUUUCUUUUUUUUUUUUAAAGAAGUUCUCUUUUAUUUAUAAUUUAUAUGCAUCUCAAUAAAUGUCAGUAGCAGCUUCUGUAACA
rnacentral:lncRNA from 1 species